ensembl:lncRNA
GUGGUUCAGCGAGCCGAGUGGUGGGCCCCAGGGCUGGGUUCUGGCUGAGUGGUGUUACACUCAGGUGUGAGCAGUCCCGGGGCGGGAGGGUCCAGGGCCCUUGGUGAUGUGGAAGGCAAGCCCUUGAGAAUGUUCGCAGGCUCAGUGUAUUUACGGGAUAUCAAUGUGUCAGAGCAGCAACCUCUUUAUGGGGAUAGUUUAAUUAACACUAAUUGCUCUUGGCCUAUUGUGUGACUGGAGCAGGAUUUACAGAACAUCACCGUAAUCUAAAACCCUAUAAAAGUCAUUGUCUUUAGAGGCCUUGUAACUCAUGCCUGGAAACAUCUUUGGAUCUUUGAUGCAUCACCCUGAUUGUGAAUGCUGCCUGUAUUUGCAUAAUUCUCAGAGGACCCCCAUCGCUCCUCCUCUGAGUGCCUGCAGGUUAGGGAGAGGAAGGGGCAGGCUUGAGAUCACGGUGACCAUGAUCCAUGAAGAACCCUGGCACCAUCAGAGGAAGCUCACGGGACACUUGCCAGUGACACGGACCUCUGCAGCCACCACUAACAGGGGAGGAAAGAAGGCAGCGUUGAGCGGGGGGGCCUGCCUGCCUGUGCCAAACCCACGUCUGAGAUCACAAGCAUUGGAGAAAAAGAACAAGUCUGUCUUGUCAACAUUGACCUUUGGCCACCUUGCCCCCUUGCUCACCACCCGCCUUGACCUUUCCUCUUAAUCUCUCCAUUUCCUUUCGUUUGAAAGGGAUGUAGGUGUGUUUUGAGCUCAUUCUCAUUCUGCUUCAAUUAAGUUCAACAGUAAUUUGCUUCCCACAGUUACUACCCUCCUAGAGGAGUUGGGCCUCUGAAACGUUCACACCUCAAAAUAUGGAAAAUCAUUCCUCAAGGUUUCUUUUCCUCAAUGAAUCUUCUCUUACUUUGAACUUUGGAAAUAAUCUCUUGCAUGGUUCAUGCCUUCCAUCUCCUCCCCAAUCACGGGGCAACAUUGCCUUGCUCAAGAUCAAAUACUACCCAUCUUCCCUGAGUUGGGUUUAUUUUUACUCUUGUUGUUUCUUGCAAUCUCAUUAAAUUCCUGUGACGUUAAGUAGGAUGGGUAUCCUAAUGCCUGCAUCACAGGUAAAGGAACCACGGUCAGGGAGCCUCUUUCAGGAAGCAGAACUGGGUUGAGAUGAGGACCUCUGGCUCCCUGUCCCCAGCCUUCGUGGGCGACAAGGGCUGGGUCUUGCUUUCAGGCAUGGUGGGAGCAGCGGCGCUGGCCCUCUGCUCAGCUUCGUCCUCAGUCUACCCAGGGAAAGCCAAGAUCAAGAGCCUCACUGACACUGCACCCCCUCUUGAGCUUGGUUUGCCAUCCUGCUGAGAGCUCGUGCCCCCAUGUG